GCCAGGCGAGGUGCUGCACGCCUGUAAUCCCAGUGGCUUGGGAGGCUGAGACAGGAGGAUUCCAAGUUCAAAGCCAGCCUCAGCAACCUCAAGGGGCUAAGCAACUCAGUGAGACCCUGUCUCUA
rnacentral:sRNA from 1 species